AGAGUUUGAUCCUGGCUCAGGAUGAACGCUGGCGGCGUGCUUAACACAUGCAAGUCGAACGAUGAUCCCAGCUUGCUGGGGGAUUAGUGGCGAACGGGUGAGUAACACGUGAGUAACCUGCCCUUGACUCUGGGAUAAGCCUGGGAAACUGGGUCUAAUACCGGAUAUGACUCCUCAUCGCAUGGUGGGGGGUGGAAAGCUUUUGUGGUUUUGGAUGGACUCGCGGCCUAUCAGCUUGUUGGUGGGGUAAUGGCCUACCAAGGCGACGACGGGUAGCCGGCCUGAGAGGGUGACCGGCCACACUGGGACUGAGACACGGCCCAGACUCCUACGGGAGGCAGCAGUGGGGAAUAUUGCACAAUGGGCGCAAGCCUGAUGCAGCGACGCCGCGUGAGGGAUGACGGCCUUCGGGUUGUAAACCUCUUUCAGUAGGGAAGAAGCGUAAGUGACGGUACCUGCAGAAGAAGCGCCGGCUAACUACGUGCCAGCAGCCGCGGUAAUACGUAGGGCGCAAGCGUUAUCCGGAAUUAUUGGGCGUAAAGAGCUCGUAGGCGGUUUGUCGCGUCUGCUGUGAAAGACCGGGGCUCAACUCCGGUUCUGCAGUGGGUACGGGCAGACUAGAGUGCAGUAGGGGAGACUGGAAUUCCUGGUGUAGCGGUGAAAUGCGCAGAUAUCAGGAGGAACACCGAUGGCGAAGGCAGGUCUCUGGGCUGUAACUGACGCUGAGGAGCGAAAGCAUGG
rnacentral:rRNA from 1 species